GCAGACAAUAGCGAAGCUGUGAUUCAAUGGAUAAGUCCAGAACCUGAAUUGAGAACCUGUUCUAAGUUGCUACUCAAGUGCAGCCCACUAACUUAGGGGCACAAGAAUUGGAGGUUAUACAGCUCAAGAGAUACAUGACCAAAAAAUACAGCACUGCUGUGUUUCCCAGAAGAUGAGAAAAAUAUCACUGGAUGAGCACAGAUUUCCCCUCUCUGGGAAGAUCCCUGAAGACAGAAGCUAGUGAGUGCUCUGCCUCAGCCCUGCUACAUUCCUGACCUUGUCCCUUUUGGAGGAGGAACAAGAAAUUCUAGGAUGAGACAGAGAUCAAAGGAGGAAGAAAGAGAAAAAUGUCAGUCAACAGAAUUUCAGGACUCAAUGGGGGAAUGAAGAUAGUAUUUAUAGAUUAAGUCCUCAUAAACUAUUAGAAGAUUCAGUCAAACUGCGUUUGUGGAACUGCAUUGUGGAAUUUCACCCGAGGAGCCCCAUCUGUAUGAGGGGCUGAUUCAGCAGAGAGAUUGUGGACUUCAAGCCAAUGCCAUAACAUGAUGAGAUUUUGAGGCUCUUGGAAAGAGGUCCAGCCAGUCAAGAGCUGGUGAAGUAGACCUGCUGUAGAAGGUGUGAAGACCCAGUCCUCCCUCCACAAUUCUCCACCCUUGAAAGGUCGUGUGCGUGUCUGUUCACCCACGAAAGAAGAAGACACCAAAUGGAUGGCAUCGAUUUCAUCUUAAGUUUCAAUGCCAACUCUAUAAGUAACUGCAUUUUUACAUUUCUGAUACUGUAACAAAUGGAAAUAUGGAAAACAGUACAUCUGAAGCAUAGCAAGACAUUUAAGAUGAUUUACUAUAAAAACCUCAAGUUUAAGCUUUGAAUAUCAGCAAAAUUAAGAUAAGUUUAUAAAUGAUUAAAAAUAAUUAUAACCAUUGCUAGUAAGAAAGAAAGUGUUUAGUCAUGAACUAGAGAGGUCUACCCUAUUCAAUAUUGUUUCUACCUAUGGAGACUUUAUAGGCAUACUAACAAAAUUCUUGAUAAGGGAUGCGAAUUUUAAAAUGCACUAU